rnacentral:rRNA from 1 species
UACAGAGGUCUCAAGCGUUGUUCGGAAUUAUUGGGCGUAAAGGGUGCGUAGGCGGUUCGGUCAGUUGGGUGUGAAAAGUCGAGGCUCAACCUCGAAAUUGCACCCAAUACUACCGGGCUAGAGUACUGCAUAGGAAGCUGGAACUUACGGUGUAGCAGUGAAAUGCGUAGAUAUCGUAAAGAAGACCAGAGGCGAAAGCGAGCUUCUAGGCAGUUACUGACGCUCAUGCACG